UCCUACGGGAGGCAGCAGUGAGGAAUAUUGGUCAAUGGCCGGAAGGCUGAACCAGCCAAGUAGCGUGCAGGAUGACUGCCUUAUGGGUUGUAAACUGCUUUUUUACGGGAAUAAUUAUGAUCACGUGUGAUUAUUUGCAUGUACCGUAAGAAUAAGGAUCGGCUAACUCCGUGCCAGCAGCCGCGGUAAUA
rnacentral:rRNA from 1 species